rnacentral:rRNA from 1 species
GUUCGAGACCCGAACGGACAAUCGCGAACCCGUCAACGCUCCGGCGGGGGCGGAGGGAGGGCGGGCAUCUAAACUGCCCGACCCCGCCGCCCCGGAGCCCCAUGGCCGCCCCCGCCCCGCCUCGCUGCGGGACGGGCGGCGGGAACAAUACCCGGCGCGAUGGGCGCCAAGGAACAGUGCAGUCGGAGAGCGCCGCACGCCGGUUCCGGCAUGCGGUGUGAUCCUUCCAUACAUCUAACUUUUACGACUCUCGGCAACGGAUAUCUUGGCUCUCGCAUCGAUGAAGAACGUAGCGAAAUGCGAUACUUGGUGUGAAUUGCAGAAUCCCGUGAACCAUCGAGUCUUUGAACGCAAGUUGCGCCCGAGGCUAUCCGGCCGAGGGCACGCCUGCCUGGGCGUCACGCCUCGCGUCGCUCCGCGCACCCUGCCCCUCCCCCGAGCCGGGGAUACGGCGGACGCGGAUGUGGAGAUUGGCCCCCCGUGCCUUGCGGUGCGGCGGGUCGAAGUGCGGGUCGCCGGCCGGGACGGACGCGGUGAGUGGUGGACGGACACGUACGGCGCUGAACGCCGCCUCUGCUCGCGGCCCCAGCGAACCAUGCAAGGAACCCAUGCCGAGCAC